rnacentral:rRNA from 1 species
AUGAACGCUGGCGGCGUGCCUAAUACAUGCAAGUCGAGCGAAUGGAUUAAGAGCUUGCUCCUGGCGGCGAGUGGCGAACGGGUGAGUAAUACAUCGGAACGUACCCAGAAGUGGGGGAUAACGUAGCGAAAGUUACGCUAAUACCGCAUAUUCUGUGAGCAGGAAAGUGGGGGAUCGCAAGACCUCACGCUUUUGGAGCGGCCGAUGUCGGAUUAGCUAGUUGGUGAGGUAAAGGCUCACCAAGGCGACGAUCCGUAGCGGGUCUGAGAGGAUGAGCCGCCACACUGGGACUGAGACACGGCCCAGACUCCUACGGGAGGCAGCAGUGGGGAAUUUUGGACAAUGGGGGCAACCCUGAUCCAGCCAUGCCGCGUGAGUGAAGAAGGCCUUCGGGUUGUAAAGCUCUUUCGCGAGGGAAGAAAGCGCACUGGUUAAUACCUGGUGUGGAUGACGGUACCUUGAUAAGAAGCACCGGCUAACUACGUGCCAGCCGCCGCAGUAA